CCAGCCGAGCUUUGUAGACAGUUCCAAAACCACCUUCACCUAUAAGUUGUGAUUUUGAGAAGUUGCGGGUUGCCCUGGCAAUCUGACUCAAAUUGAGAUAAACAGAACCAAGUCUACUUAGUUUUGGAGAGUUUGUAUAUCUAGGACUAGGUGGUACACGGUGUGGACUGGCUGAUAUCUUUUCAGCGGCAUGGGGUUUCACUUCAAAAGAAGGUGAAUUAUCCACUGCAAAAGAAUAGUCAAUUUUAGCAUAACAAUAUAUAGAAAUAAAAAGGUCAUAUUAAGGAAAAAACUAAUUUAAGAUGGACACAGAAGUGCAACAGUGUACAUAAUUGUAAACAUAUCACUAUAACAGCAUGGACAGGUCAGAUAGUACUGUUAAUCUAACAUUUGAACGAAUGCAUUUAAAUGGUAACACGGAGCAUUUGGUCACGCUAUCAUAUGACAACCUGAUAUGUGAUAACCUGGAGUUAGUACUAAACGCUUGAGAUGUAAGAGACUUACUUGAAUUUGUGUCCUUAGCAAGAGCAUUGUGAGCAGUUUCUCUCCUUUUCUUAUAGAAGCAGGGACAAAGGAAAACACAACACACCAACAACGCUCCACUUGCUGCGAUUCCAACUGUUUUGGUCGUGAACAUAUAUAAGUCUUUUCCAUGAUGGAUAGGGGAUCCAUCCUUGGGCUCGUUAUGCAUAAGUUUUCUUG